GCAGUUCCUCUGCAGUUCCUUCAUCUGGUAAAAGAUAACUUUGAUCUCACUCUCACUGCUUUCAACUUGUUAUUGAAACUGUAUCCAUUUCCUUCCAGAACGUUAAGAAGCCCAUGUGCUGGGCGCAUGGGGGAUCGUUCCACCAACAUGCACACUGAGAGAAGCAGAGACUACGUGUAAAAAGAAUGCAACACUGGCCAAAGAUGAUUUGUUUCUUGUAGAAGCUGUGGUAAUGGAAGAAGAAAAAAAGGACAGAGAUGCAGCUUAAUAGAAGUUGUGUAAAAGUACAGGUUCAGGGCACAAUCCACAAUGGCUCUAUGUAGCAGAAGUACUCAGGGGACAGAUUCCCAAAGUGACAAAAUCUGUAUCUGGAAGCAAAAAAACAAAAGUGUGAGCAGAAGGGAGCUGUGAGUAAAGGUCUUUUUACAUUAGAAGACUAAUAUAUCUAUCACACACAUAUAUACAGCCCCAGAAGAUUAUUUACUAGCUUUGCUUACAAGUCUAUUUCUUUAGCCAGUGGACUGAGAGAGCAAUUCUGUCUUAUAUGUUAUCUUACAACUAUUUUCAACUUGACACUGAAAUCCCAGGUGUAGCUUGGAGUAGGCUUUAAAAUUAGCCAGUAAGUAUCUUUAACUUCUCUGUGGAGUUGUACUUGCUCUCUGGUGUGCUCAACAUUUCAGCAUUUUAUUUAAAAUUGGCUUUUAAAAUUAUUUUACAUUUGGUCAACUUUUAUUCAUCCAACUAAAGUGGUAUUUACAAAUAUUUUUAGUAAAAAGAUGUAGAAUAAUGUUAUUUUGUUAUGUAAAUGGCUGUAUUUCUCAGAAAUCAUGGAUGUCUCAUUCAUAUGUUAGUCUCUAAUAAGAAAACACACGUUUGUGAUUGUUCAACUUUCCCUCUGUCCCUCUCUUUUCUCCCUGUACACCUACUCAGAAAGGUUGUUUCUAUGGUAAUGUGAAAAGUAAAUUAACAAACAAGAAGCUUAGGCAGUUUUUGAAUCUAAGUAUGUUACCCUUAACCUCAAUUAGAGAUGCAAAACAUUAUUCCUAUGUGCAGAUUUAGUUUAUAUUGGGAACAUGGUCUUAAGAUUUUAAGUUUUGACCUUAUCUUUCAGCAGAGUCACAACCACUCAGACACUGUCUGGGUUAGGAUUGUUUUGUUUUCAAGUAAUAACUAUUGUACAUACAGGACCCAGUACAGUGGGACCUGAUUAUUGAUCGAUGGAUGUUGUUAUAGCACAAAUAGUAAGUGGUUAUUAGGAUAUAAAUAUUCUACGGAAAAAAAAAAGAUUUUUGUAGGAUUUUAUAUGUUGGGUCAUGCUACAAGGAUUCAGUGACACUUCAGGGUAACUCUUAUGCAAAUAAUUCAAUAAACUGCUUGUCUUAUUUACAUUGAUGUUAUGGUCACUCUCUCUGUAUAUUGGUUCAGAAUUAGUUUUGCACUCCUGAGUGGAUGCUUAAAGAAUGGGGGCGGGGAAUGGGAGAUAGGGAGUGGGAGAGUAACAAAACACAGAAAUGAACUGGAAUAUAAUUAAUUCUGUAUCUUUCCUUUCUGUAGUUCUGUGCUGUAGUUAAUGCAUUCAGAAUGCCAACAGAAUUUGUCCCUGCUGAGAGUGAAAUUGGUAGCAAAUGUAGAAUUCAUUGUGUUUUCUUUUCUUGCUUUCCUUCUUGCUGAUGUGCAGGAAUAUUCAGCGUGUAUAGCAUAAAUAAGAAUAAAGUCUGGUAUAUCU
rnacentral:lncRNA from 7 species